UGGGGAAUAUUGGACAAUGGGCGCAAGCCUGAUCCAGCCAUGCCGCGUGAGUGAUGAAGGCCCUAGGGUUGUAAAGCUCUUUCACCGGUGAAGAUAAUGACGGUAACCGGAGAAGAAGCCCCGGCUAACUUCGUGCCAGCAGCCGCGGUAAUACGAAGGGGGCUAGCGUUGUUCGGAUUUACUGGGCGUAAAGCGCACGUAGGCGGACUAUUAAGUCAGGGGUGAAAUCCCGGGGCUCAACCCCGGAACUGCCUUUGAUACUGGUAGUCUUGAGUUCGAGAGAGGUGAGUGGAAUUCCGAGUGUAGAGGUGAAAUUCGUAGAUAUUCGGAGGAACACCAGUGGCGAAGGCGGCUCACUGGCUCGAUACUGACGCUGAGGUGCGAAAGCGUGGGGAGCAAACAGA
rnacentral:rRNA from 1 species